GUGUCAGCCGCCGCGGUAAUACGAAGGGGGCUAGCGUUGUUCGGAAUUACUGGGCGUAAAGCGCACGUAGGCGGAUACUUAAGUUAGGGGUGAAAUCCCAGAGCUCAACUCUGGAACUGCCUUUAAUACUGGGUAUCUCGAGUCCGAGAGAGGUGAGUGGAAUUCCGAGUGUAGAGGUGAAAUUCGUAGAUAUUCGGAGGAACACCAGUGGCGAAGGCGGCUCACUGGCUCGGUACUGACGCUGAGGUGCGAAAGCGUGGGGAGCAAACAGGAUUAGAAACCCGCGUAGUCC
rnacentral:rRNA from 1 species